UUUCUCUGAAACCUGUGGGAUGCUGCUUUAUCUGAGUCUGGUGCCAGCAGGCAGUGUUUAGAAACUCACAUCCCCAAACCAUCACCACAGCCAUGAGAACUGCUGUGUGUUCACCCUCAGACCAGGAAACCAGUCAUCCCAGAGAAGCUAAGGUAGAUGACAUCUCUCCAGAGAUGCUGAGCUAAGCAUCCAGGACCGACUGAAAGUGCAGACUGCAGGUUGCCAACUGGCAGCAGAUGGGAUGGAUCAGGCCAGCAGAUGUGGUUAGUUCAGCCAGAGCGGUCUGUCAUAGAAGCUAAAUUAUCAUGUUAUAUCGAGCGCU